CCGUAACUAUAACGGUCCUAAGGUAGCGAAAUUCCUUGUCGGGUAAGUUCCGACCUGCACGAAUGGCAUAAUGAUGGCAGCGCUGUCUCCAGCAGAGACUCAGUGAAAUCGAAAUCGCAGUGAAGAUGCUGUGUACCCGCGGCUAGACGGAAAGACCCCGUGAACCUUUACUACAGCUUUACAUUGAACUUUGACCUAACUUGUGUAGGAUAGGUGGGAGGCUUUGAAGCAGAUACGCCAGUAUCUGUGGAGCCAACCUUGAAAUACCACCCUGGUUAUGUUGGGGUUCUAACUUGGAUAUAACAGUAUCAAGGACAAUGUAUGGUGGGUAGUUUGACUGGGGCGGUCUCCUCCUAAAGAGUAACGGAGGAGUACGAAGGUGCGCUCAGAACGGUCGGAAAUCGUUCAAAGAGUAUAAAGGCAAAAGCGCGCUUAACUGCGAGACCCACAAGUCGAGCAGGUACGAAAGUAGGUCUUAGUGAUCCGGUGGUUCUGUAUGGAAGGGCCAUCGCUCAACGGAUAAAAGGUACUCUGGGGAUAACAGGCUGAUACCGCCCAAGAGUUCAUAUCGACGGCGGUGUUUGGCACCUCGAUGUCGGCUCAUCUCAUCCUGGGGCUGAAGCAGGUCCCAAGGGUAUGGCUGUUCGCCAUUUAAAGAGGUACGCGAGCUGGGUUUAGAACGUCGUGAGACAGUUCGGUCCCUAUCUACCGUGGGCGUUGGAAAUUUGAGAGGAUCUGCUCCUAGUACGAGAGGACCAGAGUGGACGAACCUCUGGUGUUUCGGUUGUCACGCCAGUGGCAUUGCCGAGUAGCUACGUUCGGAUGGGAUAACCGCUGAAAGCAUCUAAGCGGGAAGCCCACCUCAAGAUAAGAUUUCCCUAAGAGCCGUUGUAGACUACGACGUUGAUAGGUUGGGUGUGGAAGUGUAGUGAUACAUGUAGCUAACCAAUACUAAUUGCUCGUUUGGCUUGACCAU
rnacentral:rRNA from 1 species